GACGAACGCUGGCGGCGUGCUUAACACAUGCAAGUCGAACGGAAAGGCCCUGCUUUUGUGGGGUGCUCGAAUGGCGAACGGGUGAGUAACACGUGAGUAACCUGCCCUUGACUUUGGGAUAACUUCAGGAAACUGGGGCUAAUACCGGAUAGGAGCUCCUGCUGCAUGGUGGGGGGGGGAAAGUUUCGGCGGUUGGGGAUGGACUCGCGGCUUAUCAGCUUGUUGGUGGGGUAGUGGCUUACCAAGGCUUUGACGGGUAGCCGGCCUGAGAGGGUGACCGGCCACAUUGGGACUGAGAUACGGCCCAGACUCCUACGGGAGGCAGCAGUGGGGAAUAUUGCACAAUGGGCGGAAGCCUGAUGCAGCAACGCCGCGUGCGGGAUGACGGCCUUCGGGGUGUAAACCGCUUUCGCCUGUGACGAAGCGUGAGUGACGGUAAUGGGUAAAGAAGCACCGGCUAACUACGUG
rnacentral:rRNA from 1 species